rnacentral:rRNA from 1 species
GUGUCAGCCGCCGCGGUAAGACGUAGGGCGCAAGCGUUGUCCGGAUUUAUUGGGCGUAAAGAGCUCGUAGGCGGCUUGUUGCGUCGACUGUGAAAAACCACGUCUCAACCGUGGGACUGCAGUCGAUACGGGCAGGCUAGAGUUCGGUAGGGGAGACUGGAAUUCCUGGUGUAGCGGUGAAAUGCGCAGAUAUCAGGAGGAACACCGGUGGCGAAGGCGGGUCUCUGGGCCGAUACUGACGCUGAGGAGCGAAAGCGUGGGGAGCGAACAGGAUUAGAAACCCCUGUAGUCC